GCCCCCUUAGUUCAACGGUAGAACGGAGCAAUGGUAAUGCUCAAACGCUAGUCCGACUCUGGCAGGGGGCACCA
rnacentral:tRNA from 1 species